rnacentral:rRNA from 1 species
UUAAGUUGCAGGGUAUAGACCCGAAACCCGGUGAUCUAGCCAUGGGCAGGUUGAAGGUUGGGUAACACUAACUGGAGGACCGAACCGACUAAUGUUGAAAAAUUAGCGGAUGACUUGUGGCUGGGGGUGAAAGGCCAAUCAAACCGGGAGAUAGCUGGUUCUCCCCGAAAGCUAUUUAGGUAGCGCCUCGUGAAUUCAUCUCCGGGGGUAGAGCACUGUUUCGGCAAGGGGGUCAUCCCGACUUACCAACCCGAUGCAAACUGCGAAUACCGGAGAAUGUUAUCACGGGAGACACACGGCGGGUGCUAACGUCCGUCGUGAAGAGGGAAACAACCCAGACCGCCAGCUAAGGUCCCAAAGUCAUGGUUAAGUGGGAAACGAUGUGGGAAGGCCCAGACAGCCAGGAUGUUGGCUUAGAAGCAGCCAUCAUUUAAAGAAAGCGUAAUAGCUCACUGGUCGAGUUGGCCUGCGCGGAAGAUGUAACGGGGCUAAACCAUGCACCGAAGCUGCGGCAGCGACACUGUGUGUUGUUGGGUAGGGGAGCGUUCUGUAAGCCUGUGAAGGUGUGCUGUGAGGCAUGCUGGAGGUAUCAGAAGUGCGAAUGCUGACAUAAGUAACGAUAAAGCGGGUGAAAAGCCCGCUCGCCGGAAGACCAAGGGUUCCUGUCCAACGUUAAUCGGGGCAGGGUGAGUCGACCCCUAAGGCGAGGCCGAAAGGCGUAGUCGAUGGGAAACAGGUUAAUAUUCCUGUACUUGGUGUUACUGCGAAGGGGGGACGGAGAAGGCUAUGUUGGCCGGGCGACGGUUGUCCCGGUUUAAGCGUGUAGGCUGGUUUUCCAGGCAAAUCCGGAAAAUCAAGGCUGAGGCGUGAUGACGAGGCACUACGGUGCUGAAGCAACAAAUGCCCUGCUUCCAGGAAAAGCCUCUAAGCAUCAGGUAACAUCAAAUCGUACCCCAAACCGACACAGGUGGUCAGGUAGAGAAUACCAAGGCGCUUGAGAGAACUCGGGUGAAGGAACUAGGCAAAAUGGUGCCGUAACUUCGGGAGAAGGCACGCUGAUAUGUAGGUGAAGUCCCUCGCGGAUGGAGCUGAAAUCAGUCGAAGAUACCAGCUGGCUGCAACUGUUUAUUAAAAACACAGCACUGUGCAAACACGAAAGUGGACGUAUACGGUGUGACGCCUGCCCGGUGCCGGAAGGUUAAUUGAUGGGGUCAGCGCAAGCGAAGCUCUUGAUCGAAGCCCCGGUAAACGGCGGCCGUAACUAUAACGGUCCUAAGGUAGCGAAAUUCCUUGUCGGGUAAGUUCCGACCUGCACGAAUGGCGUAAUGAUGGCCAGGCUGUCUCCACCCGAGACUCAGUGAAAUUGAACUCGCUGUGAAGAUGCAGUGUACCCGCGGCAAGACGGAAAGACCCCGUGAACCUUUACUAUAGCUUGACACUGAACAUUGAGCCUUGAUGUGUAGGAUAGGUGGGAGGCUUUGAAGUGUGGACGCCAGUCUGCAUGGAGCCGACCUUGAAAUACCACCCUUUAAUGUUUGAUGUUCUAACGUGGACCCGUGAUCCGGGUUGCGGACAGUGUCUGGUGGGUAGUUUGACUGGGGCGGUCUCCUCCUAAAGAGUAACGGAGGAGCACGAA